GAUGAACGCUGGCGGCGUGCUUAACACAUGCAAGUCGAGCGAUGAAGCCCAGCUUGCUGGGUGGAUUAGUGGCGAACGGGUGAGUAACACGUGAGUAACCUGCCCUUGACUCUAGGAUAAGCCCGGGAAACUGGGUCUAAUACUGGAUAGGAACGUCUACCGCAUGGUGGGUGUUGGAAAGAAUUUCGGUCAUGGAUGGACUCGCGGCCUAUCAGCUUGUUGGUGAGGUAAUGGCUCACCAAGGCGACGACGGGUAGCCGGCCUGAGAGGGUGACCGGCCACACUGGGACUGAGACACGGCCCAGACUCCUACGGGAGGCAGCAGUGGGGAAUAUUGCACAAUGGGCGAAAGCCUGAUGCAGCGACGCCGCGUGAGGGAUGACGGCCUUCGGGUUGUAAACCUCUUUCAGUAGGGAAGAAGCGAAAGUGACGGUACCUGCAGAAGAAGCACCGGCUAACUACGUG
rnacentral:rRNA from 1 species